CUGCCGGACCCCACUGCUAUCGGGAUAGGACUAAGACAUGCUAGUUGAGCGCUUCCAGCCAAAACGGGAGCGCAGCGCACAGCUCAGUAACACGUGGCUAAUCUGCCCUUGGGACCGGAACACCCCCGGGAAACUGGGGCUAAUUCUCGAUAGGUGAAGAACUCUGGAAUGAGUCUUUGCCAAAAAGACGUUUACGUUAUGCUCGUAGGCGUCGUCCAAGGAUGAGGCCGCGACCGAUCAGGUUGUUGGUGAGGUAAUGGCUCACCAAGCCUUUUACCGGUGCGGGCCGUGAGAGCGGGAGCCCGGAGAUGGGCACUGAGACAAGGGCCCAGGCCCUACGGGGCGCAGCAGUCGCGAAAACUUUGCAAUACACGAAAGUGUGACAGGGCUAUCCCGAGUGCCAUCCGCUGAGGAAGGCUUUUACCCAGUCUAGAACGCUGGGGGAAUAAGGAGAGGGCAAGUCUGGUGUCAGCCGCCGCGGUAAUACCAGCUCUCCGAGUGGUGUGGAUGUUUAUUGGGCCUAAAGCAUCCGUAGCUGGCUGAGUUAGUCCCUUGUUAAAUCCACCGAAUUAAUCGUUGGAUUGCGGGGGGAUACUGCUCGGCUAGGGGACGAGAGAGGCAGACGGUAUUUCUGGGGUAGGGGUGAAAUCCUAUAAUCCCAGGAGGACCACCAGUGGCGAAAGCUGUCUGCUAGAACGCGCCCGACGGUGAGGGAUGAAAGCUGGGGGAGCGAACCCGGAUUAGAUACCCCGGGUAGUCCCAGCUGUAAACGAUGCAGACUAGUGU
rnacentral:rRNA from 1 species